rnacentral:rRNA from 1 species
AGUCGAGCGAGAUGCCGGGUGUAGCAAUACAUUCGGCGUCUAGCGGCAAACGAGUGAGUAACACGUAAGAAAUCUACCCCGAAGAAGGGAAUAACUCGCCGAAAGGCGGGCUAAUGCCCUAUAUAAUCCCAGAAAGGCAUCUUUUUGGGAUGAAAGGCCCGCAAGGGCCGCUCUGGGAGGAUCUUGCGACCUAUCAGCUAGUUGGCGGGGUAACGGCCCACCAAGGCUAUGACGGGUAGCCGGCCUGAAAGGGCGAUCGGCCACGGAGGCACUGCGACACGGGCCUCACUCCUACGGGAGGCAGCAGUGGGGAAUUUUGGACAAUGGGGGAAACCCUGAUCCAGCAACGCUGCGUGAGGGACGAAGGUCUUCGGAUUGUAAACCUCUUUUGUUCGGGAAGAAAGCCCGCAAGGGUUUGACGGUACCGGAUGAAUAAGCCACGGCUAACUACGUGCCAGCAGCCGCGGUAAGACGUAGGUGGCGAGCGUUACUCGGAAUUACUAGGCGUAAAGCGCGUGUAGGUGGGUGCUUAAGUCCGCUGCGAAAUCUCCCGGCUCAACUGGGAGGGGUCAGCGGAUACUGGGCGUCUUGAGUCGGGUAGGGGGUACUGGAAUUCCCGGUGUAGCGGUGAAAUGC